AUUUUCAGCAUCUACAGUUUAAAAAAAAAAUCCAUGAAACCCAAGAUUUAAAAGGAACCUGAGGGGCUUUUUCAUACAGAGUUUGGUGGAUAUGUGGAACGAGCUGCCGGCGGAGGGGCAACCUUGCAGAGGGAAUUUAACCUACAAACCUGCACAUCGUUGCGUUGUGGGAGGAAACCGGAGCACCUGGAGGAAACCCACGCAGUACAAAUGGUACCUCACCAUUCACCAGAUGUGGCAGGAUCUUCCUUUGGUUGUGAGAUGCUGAGGCCUGUGGUUCAGGUAGUUUGGCAUGCGCCCGACAACUCUCACCAACCUCUCAAGAUGCGCCGUGGAAAGCAUUUUAUCGGGAUGCAUCACAGCAUGGUUUGGGAACAGCUCCAUCCAAGACCCCAAGAAAUUGGAGAGAAUUGUGGACGCAGCCCAAACCAUCACACAAACCAUCCUCCCUUCCAUUGACUCCAUCUACACUUCACGCUGCCUCAGCAAGGCUAUCAGGAUAAUCCAGGACAAGCCUCUCCCUAGUCACUCCCUCUUUUCCCCUCUCCUGUCAGGGGAAACGGAAGUGUGAAUACACACUCUUCCAGAUUCAGGGAGUUUCUUCCCAGCUGUUAUCAGGCAACUGAACCAUCCUAUCAACAACUGGAGAUCCUCGAACUAUCUUUAAUAGAACUUCACUAGACAUUAUCUUGUACUAAAUGUUAUUCCCUUUAUCCUGUAUCUGUUCACUGUGGGCAGCUUGAUUGUAAUCAUGUAUAGUCUUUUCGCUGAAUAGAUAGCACGCAACAAAAAAGCUUUACACUGUACCACGGUACUCGUGAAAUAAACUAAACUAAAAUGUAGUCUUUUUAUUAAUCCCUUGUCUGAUGGAAGAGGGGAGAAGAGGUGGUGACUGGGGUGAGACUCGUCCUUGAUUAUGCUUGUGGCCUUGCUGAGGCAAUGUGCAGUGUAGAUGGAGUCAAUGGGAGGGAGGUUGGUUUGCGAGAUGGUCUGGGCUAUGUCCACAACUCUCUGCAAUUUCUUGCAUCUGUGAGUGAACUGGAUAGGCGAUGUUUUGGGUCAGGACCCUUCUGUGUAUCACUGGUCAGAAUUUGACUUGUCCCCCGCCUCCUCUUUCCAGCAUUCUCCCGGCUACUAAAAUCAGUCUGAGCAAGGGUCUCGACCGGAAAUGUUGCCUGUCCAUUCCCUCCACUCAAGCUGUCUGUCCCGCUGUGUUACUCCAGCACUUUGUGUUUUGUUCAAGAUUCCAUCAUCUGCAGUUUCUUGUGUUUCCAUAGUCUCAAAGUUUAAUCUUUGAGAUUUUGAAGUCUCAGGAGCAGGAUCUCAAUGAAAAACCUCUGAUGUGGUGGGAAGGGAUUGUGUGCCCAUUCUGAGGCAGAAAUCCCCUGCCAGUUCUAUUGCCAGAGACCCCAAAUAUUGGGAGAAUGGCCUACACCUGAAGGAGACAUGGGCAUUUUAGCACCUUCUAAGCCCCCUAGUAUCAGAAUCCGUUUGUAAUGUUAAUGCAAGCCUCCCUUCCUGCCUCUCUCUAUACCUUCACAUGUCUGUUUACGAAUUUGCCUUUCAUUACAGAGAGAGAUGAAGCCUUGAAUUAAGUUUUCAUUGGUGGGUCGGUGGUGGAGAGAGAUAGCAACUGCGAACUCCUGAGCAUUAGACAUCUCAGAUGCCUGGUCAUGUAGACCAGCGCAUAGAUAUAAUCACGUGGGCAUCUCAAUGGCUCUACUCUCUUAGAUGUUUAAUACAGCAUCUCACUGAAUACUGCAGGUUCAUUACUUUCCUAUAGCAAUGGGCGGCACAGUGGUGCUGCAAAGAGUUGCUGCCAUACAGCGUCAGAGACCCGGGUUCGAUCUGACUACAGGUGCUGUCUGAAUGGAGUUUGUAUGUUCUCACUGUGACCGCUUGGGAUUUCUCCGGGUGCUCCGGUUUCUGCCCACACUCCAAAGGCGUGCAGGUUUUUAGGUUAAUUGGAUUCUAUAAAUCAUCCCUUGUGUGUAGGAUGGUGUUAGCAUAUGGCUUGUGUGACUGCAUGAGUUUUCUCAAGGUGCUCUAGUUUGCUCCCACAUUCCAAAGACAUGUGGAUUUGUAGGUUAAUUGGCUUCUAUAAAUUGCCCCUAGUGUGUGGGUUGGGAAAGCAUGAUAACAUGAAACUAGUGCAUGGUUGAUCAAUGGUCGGUGUGGACUUAGUGGGCUGAAGAGUCUGUUUCCACACGGUAUCUCUAAAGUCAUCAGUUUCUUGAACUGACUUGCAAAACACUAUAGAAUCUGCAGGAGGAUCCCAACGCAAAAUGUUGCCUAUCCAUGUCCUCCACAGAUGCUGACUGACCUGUUUAGUUCCCCCAGCAUUUUGUGUUCUAUGUAUGAGUCCAGCAUUUGCAGUUCUUUGCAAAACCUCUGCAAAGGAACACUGCAGAUCACCUCUUGUACGUCCGUGAACUUGUUAUUUCUAAUUAUCUUGUGCAUUAAUGCUUUGUUCUUUGCUGUCUUUUUUCUUUU